CCCUGGUUAGCUCAGUUAGUAGAGCGCUCCACCUAUAAUGGAGAGGUCCCGGGUUCGAUACCCGGACCAGGCG
rnacentral:tRNA from 1 species